rnacentral:rRNA from 1 species
CGGGGUGAGUAACGCGUGGGUAACCUGCCUCAUACAGGGGGAUAACAGUUAGAAAUGACUGCUAAUACCGCAUAAGCGCACAGAAUCGCAUGAUUCGGUGUGAAAACUCCGGUGGUAUGAGAUGGACCCGCGUCUGAUUAGCUAGUUGGGUGGGGUAAAGGCCUACCAAGGCGACGAUCAGUAGCCGACCUGAGAGGGUGAUCGGCCACAUUGGGACUGAGACACGGCCAAACUCCUACGGGAGGCAGCAG